AGCGAACGCUAGCGGGAUGCCUCAAACAUGCAAGUCGAACGCGAAAGGGUAGCAAUAUCCGAGUAGAGUGGCGCACGGGUGCGUAACACGUAGCUAACAUACCUCCUUGCUGGGGAUAACUCCGGGAAACCGGAGCUAAUACCGAAUCGUCUGUCGGGGUCUGCGGACCCUGCCAGCAAAGCCGUAAGGCGCGAGGAGAUUGGGCUGCGGUCCAUUAGCUUGUUGGUAGGGUAACGGCCUACCAAAGCGACGAUGGAUAGCUGGUCUGAGAGGAUGAUCAGCCACACUGGAACUGACACACGGUCCAGACUCCCACGGGAGGCAGCAGUUGGGAAUAUUGGACAAUGGGGGCAACCCUGAUCCAGCAAUCCCGCGUGAGUGAUGAAGGCCUUCGGGUCGUAAAGCUCUUUUAGUGAGGACAAAGGGAAACUUGAUGGUACUCACAGAAAAAGCACCGGCUAACUCCGUG
rnacentral:rRNA from 1 species